rnacentral:rRNA from 1 species
UACGUAGGGUGCAAGCGUUGUCCGGAAUUAUUGGGCGUAAAGAGCUCGUAGGCGGUUCGUCGCGUCGGCUGUGAAAACCUGAGGCUCAACCUCAGGCCUGCAGUCGAUACGGGCGGACUUGAGUACUGCAGGGGAGACUGGAAUUCCUGGUGUAGCGGUGAAAUGAGCAGAUAUCAGGAGGAACACCGGUGGCGAAGGCGGGUCUCUGGGCAGUAACUGACGCUGAGGAGCGAAAGCGUGGGGAGCGAACAGG